rnacentral:rRNA from 1 species
AGCAGGGUCGGGCCUGGUUAGUACUUGGAUAACAAGCCCAAUCUCAGAAGCUAAGCAGGGUCGGGCCUGGUUAGUACUUGGAUGGGAGACCACCUAGGAAGACUAGGUGCUGUAGGUG